CUUCAACAUUCUUCAUCCUGAAUAUAUUCUCUUCGGGCUAGGGGAUCAUAUCUUCCAGACAGCCAUUACAUGAGCCGCUGUCUUUCUCUCUAUAGUACUCUCUAUAAUACUACAUAGGGACCUUACCACUAGUGGAAUUAGACAGGGCAGGAGGAGGCACAAAAAAAAAAAUAUAAUAAAUUCUACUCCUCCUACUAAUGUCUUAAUUCCUCCAAACUGCUCAUACCAACUUCCAAACCAACUACUUAGGUUAUACCCAUUCCAGACCUGAGUAGGUACAUGCUCAAAUUUAACCAUGUGGCUUGUAAGUUCAGCCACUGCCUUCCCUUCAUCAUCU